rnacentral:lncRNA from 1 species
GGGCCGAGUUCGAGGCGGCAAAGGAAUUGUCUGCCAGGCUUCUGGAGGCACCUGGGCCGUGUGGGUUCACAGCGGUCAUCCAGGGAAUGGAUGGACAUGCUCCUGCAGUGCUCGGCCAAGCUCAGCCCUUGUUCAGCACACCAGCCCUGUGAGCCACGCUGUCCCUGGAGCCUGGCUCGGAGGAUGCGAGGAGGAUUCUCCAGCAG